rnacentral:rRNA from 1 species
GACGUAGGGGACGAGCGUUGUCCGGAAUCACUGGGCGUAAAGCGCACGUAGGCGGAUUGCUAAGUCAGAGGUGAAAUCCUGGAGCUCAACUCCAGAACUGCCUUUGAUACUGGCGACCUUGAGUCCGGGAGAGGUGAGUGGAACUGCGAGUGUAGAGGUGAAAUUCGUAGAUAUUCGCAAGAACACCAGUGGCGAAGGCGGCUCACUGGCCCGAUACUGACGCUGAGGCACGAAAGCGUGGGGAGCAAACAGG